UGGGGAAUUUUGGACAAUGGGCGAAAGCCUGAUCCAGCAAUGCCGCGUGUGUGAAGAAGGCCUUCGGGUUGUAAAGCACUUUUGUCCGGAAAGAAAUCCUUGGCUCUAAUACAGUCGGGGGGAUGACGGUACCGGAAGAAUAAGCACCGGCUAACUACGUGCCAGCAGCCGCGGUAAUACGUAGGGUGCAAGCGUUAAUCGGAAUUACUGGGCGUAAGCGUGCGCAGGCGGUUUGCUAAGACCGAUGUGAAAUCCCCGGGCUCAACCUGGGAACUGCAUUGGUGACUGGCAGGCUAGAGUAUGGCAGAGGGGGGUAGAAUUCCACGUGUAGCAGUGAAAUGCGUAGAGAUGUGGAGGAAUACCGAUGGCGAAGGCAGCCCCCCUGGGGCCAAUACUGACGCUCAUGCACGAAAGCGUGGGGAGCAAACAGGAUUAGAUACCCUGGUAGUCCACGCCCUAAACGAUGUCAACUAGUUGUUGGGGAUUCAUUUCCUUAGUAACGUAGCUAACGCGUGAAGUUGACCGCCUGGGGAGUACGGUCGCAAGAUUAAAACUCAAA
rnacentral:rRNA from 1 species